GCUUUUCUCUCGUCUCGACCAGUACUCGACCUCUCGACACGACGCUACGCGGCAACCCUAGCGAGCGGCGGCGGCGGCUGGCCAGGUCUCCAGGAGCCCAGGAGGAGGAGCGGCGGCGGCUGGCCAGGGCGGCGGCACCGCGGCAGCAAGCGACGGUGGCGCAAGCCGGGGCCUAGGCGCCUAGCGGCGGCGGCAGUAGCGGUCCGGUAGUCCGGCCACUUUUGACUCCGGCGCAGUUCUGGCCAGAUUGAAGAAGAUGGAAAAGAAAGGAAAGGGAAUAAAGGAAAGGGGAGGAGGUAAUUUCUGAACUUUUCUGAUUUUUUGUAGCAAAUUUAACAGUAGCUGUAGCUUGAAGCAGAUUGUAGAUUUGUAGUGACCGAAUGGAUGAUAUUUUAACAGUAGCUUAAAGCAGAUUUGUAGCAAAAUUUAACAGCAGCUUGAAGCCUUAAAUUAAAUGUGAAUAAGCUUGCUAGACUCA